GAUGAACGCUGGCGGCGUGCUUAACACAUGCAAGUCGAGCGAAAAUAAUUGAGAGCUUGCUUUUGAUUAUUUUAGCGGCGGACGGGUGAGUAACGUGUGGGCAACCUGCCUUUUACUGGGGAAUAAUCGUUGGAAACGACGACUAAUACCGCAUACAGUUCUUGGAAGGCAUCUUCUAAGAAAGAAAGGAGUAAUUCGGUAAAAGAUGGGCCCGCAUCUGAUUAGCUAGUUGGUGAGAUAAUAGCCCACCAAGGCGACGAUCAGUAGCCGACCUGAGAGGGUGACCGGCCACAUUGGGACUGAGACACGGCCCAA
rnacentral:rRNA from 1 species